UGACGCGCAUGAAUGGAUUAACGAGAUUCC
rnacentral:ncRNA from 2 species